UACGGGGGGAGCAAACGUUGUUCGGAAUCACUGGGCGUAAAGGGCGUGUAGGCGGCUGAAUAAGUGGGAUGUUAAAUCCCCCGGCUCAACCGGGGACCUGCAUCUCAUACUGUUCAGCUCGAGCACAUCAGAGGAGACUGGAAUUCCCGGUGUAGCGGUGAAAUGCGUAGAGAUCGGGAGGAAUACCAGCAGCGAAGGCGGCGAACUGGAUAGGAACUGACACUCAACUGCGAAAGCGUGGGGAGCAAACAGG
rnacentral:rRNA from 1 species